GGAAGAUAAAGAAAAAAAAAAAAAGGGAAACUAAGACUUAGCCCAACAAAUAAAAAUGAAUGAAAAAAAAUAGAGAAGAAAAUGCAUACAAUACAAUGCUUGCUGGCCGAACCAAACUAAUGGCAUUUAACAAUGAAACUGAAUUUUAAAAUAAUGUUGAAGGCUGUGGUUGGGGUUCAAAUCCGUGCUAAAAGGUGUUGAAAUGAGCAAACAAAUGUUGCUUUCAUGUUUUCUAAAUAGAAAAAAAAAUGCUAUUGAUGAUAAAGGAAAUCAAUGGAAAUCAUCUUAAAC
rnacentral:misc_RNA from 1 species